rnacentral:lncRNA from 1 species
AAAUGGAGGAAAAGGAAACCGCCUUUCAGUUCAACCGACUCACUGCAUGAUAUAUUGGCCUUUCUGGGUCUUUGGUGGCUAUACUCGUUUGGCUUUUCUCCUUCCCAGCUUGGAGGCUGCUUUAUCCAAAUGCUUUCUUCAGUCCUCAACUUGGCGUUUCAACCCGAAUCCGCCUUUUCUUCCAUCUUAGAUCUGCCUUCUUAUGUGUUUCUCCAGCUCUUCGUUUAAAACUCCUUCAAAUCGUAUUUCAGUUUUGACUGGUAUAGCAUACAUUGGCAACUGUUACACGCAGCGGCUCUUUUCCUCAUAAUACCGUAUUUGGUUUAAUUUGUGUAAGUCCUGCCUUGCGAAUUGGAUUUUAAGUUCGAGAAGGGCAAGGGCAGAACCGUUCUUUUGUCUGUUCCACACCCCGGGUGCGGGGCCUGGGAAGUAGAGGCUUUGCUUACUACUCCAUACUGCAAACCUUAGUGUACCUGCCUUUGCAGGGCAGCUAUUCUCAUGCUCUUAAUAACCCUGAAUAAACCUCAGAAUUGCA